CACACUGUUAGAUCCACCAGCCCUUUACAGGUGAAGUUGAAGCAGCCUUUUUAGGUUCUAGUGGUCACUGAGGUGGUUCUAGAGAUCCUUUAGAUGGUUUAAGUGGUCAUAGAACAGGUUCUAACAGUCUAUUGGGGGGUUCUACGGUUCCUGCAGGAGGUUGUACGGUUCCUGCAGGAGGUUCUACGGUUCCUGCGGUUCCUGCAGGAGGUUGUACGGUUCCUGCAGGAGGUUGUACGGUUCCUGCGGUUCCUGCAGGAGGUUAUACGGUUCCUGCAGGAGGUUAUACGGUUCCUGCAGGAGGUUGUACGGUUCCUGCAGGAGGUUGUACGGUUCCUGCAGGAGGUGGUACGGGUCCUGCAGGAGGUUGUACGGUUCCUGCAGGAGGUUGUACGGUUCCUGCAGGAGGUGGUACGGGUCCUGCAGGAGGUGGUACGGGUCCUGCAGGAGGUGGUACGGGUCCUGCAGGAGGUGGUACGGGUCCUGCAGGAGGUUCUACGGUUCCUGCAGGAGGUGGUACGGGUCCUGCAGGAGGUGGUACGGGUCCUGCAGGAGGUGGUACGGGUCCUGCAGGAGGUGGUACGGGUCCUGCAGGAGGUUCUGUUGGGUGUUGAACAGAUUUCAGGAGUUCCUCAGUGAUCAGUGAUGUGUCAGCAGCGGACUAUCUGA